rnacentral:rRNA from 1 species
UACAGAGGCCUCGAGCGUUAGGCGGAAUCACUGGGCUUAAAGCGUGUGUAGGCGGAUUGGUAAGUACCUUGUGAAAUCCCACAGCUUAACUGUGGAACUGCUCGGUAUACUGCUGAUCUUGAGCCACUCAGGGGCUACCGGAACAAAUGGUGGAGCGGUGAAAUGCGUAGAUAUCAUUUGGAACGCCAAUGGUGAAAACAGGUAGCUGGGGGUGUGCUGACGCUGAGGCACGAAAGCUAGGGGAGCAAACGGG